GAUGGCUUACAUUCGCUCAAUUACAACAACGCUCGUUCGCGCAUUUGACAGCCGUCGUACGAAUGUGCCAAUAACCUAUAUGUUGUUGCUAAAUAUUUCUGUUCUAGUGUUAAGUGUUCUGUUCUAAAGUUAAUAAAUAAAUUUAGUAUGGUCACGUGCCAAGUUGUUUCAACUAAUGAAUAUUGAAUUGCACGUCUUAAGUGAUGGCCAGAAGUCAAACACUUUUCAAUCAAUUCAAGAAAGCAUCCUAAAGUUCAUGUUCUCCGGAGCCUAAAUAUGCCGGAUUUGUACUAUAUGAAUGUAUUUUAAUAAUAAUUAUUUUAGAACUUGGUAUAUCAAUGUCAAUUCAUAAAAAUGAUGUAGAGGCAGUGGCAGAUUGUCGAAGGAGAGUAAUCUUACUUCAGGCUUCUUUGAGCUGUAUUGAAGUGUGUGGAUUAGACAAAUCUCCUUUA